UGACACCGGAAGCCGUUUCCGCUGACGUCAUGUAAACAGAGAGGCGGAGCCAAUAUUAGCAAAGAAUAGCUCACAGUGCUGUGGUGCACCCGGUGACUCCCGAGUCUCAGUCAAGUUACUUCAAGUAACGGUAAAAUCCAAUUUAUCUCCAAUUUACAUAUCUAGCUCACUGUAUCUGACUGUUGUCAAAUACAGACAACAGUUCACUGCGAUUAACGGCACAAGUGGACGGAUACGAAAGCGGAAGAACUUUCUGUUUAGCAUAGUGCAGCAGCUAAAGUAGUUAGCUUGACAAGUAGCAGUUAGAGCGUUAGCAGCCAGCAGGCUAGCUCGCUCCCUUCUCUGCUGUCAUGCCUGGAGCUCCUCGAGAUUUCACUGCGUAAACGAGAACACCUAGCAGUUAGCUUGCUAGCUUUCACACGUCCAGCAGCAGUUUGUACCCACACCGAGAAGGGGGGACUGUACUUGGAGCGGUGACAGGUCUGAACUAAGGCACAGCGGAGGGUUGGUGCUUUGCUACGGGGACUUGACUCUUCAGCCGGCUGGACAUAUCUCACUCACACCGCCUGGACUUCCCGGUGAAAUGAGGGACAGCUUGAAUUACUGAGCUUCUGCGAAACGGUCGUGGAGCCGUAACACUGCCAAAGCUUUAAUAUAAGACAUCUCAGCCCAGCUGACAAGGAGUGUCAACCUUUCUCUUUGCCAAAAAGACAUUCGUCAAGACUGCAGAUAUGCUGACUGACAACAGGAAACGACACCAUAGUUGUGACAGCGAGGAAGACCAACAGCUGAGACCACAGGCCAAGAGGUCAGGAGGGGAUCCCAGCCUGCUAGUGUCCGAUUUGGACUCAGAGUCUUCCAGCAGCGACAGCAGUAAUGGGAUCAGUAGUCCAGAGAGAGCAAUAGUGGCCACGGCCAGGCCAUGCAUACACAGCCAGAACAACUGCAUCACCCAGCACACCCUCAGCCCAAAGCCUGAAGACUCUGCCAGCUCCUUGCAGCAUGGUUUCCAUGGUGACGGGAGAAGUGUCUCUUACGACUACAUCAACAGAGUCCUGAGGGAGGCGCACUUCAGCAGUCUGCAGACCAGAGGGCGUCCAGGCUCGACAUGACCGUGACCUCUGACCCCUCUCCUGACCUUUUAGUCCCUCACCCAUCAGUGCCGGUGCUUCCGGCACGAUGGCUCCUCCUGAAAGCCUCAAGCGACACACUCGGGUCAGGGGUGAGGGGAUGACGUGGGGAGGUUUACAGAUUUUGGGCACAACGGCUCAUCCCCACCUAACAUGUACCAUUUGUUAAGACCAUAAGCACAUCCGCCUUUCCAUGGCCCAGCCACUGUGGUUUUUUGUGCAGUAUUGAUGUGUGUGUGUGUUUGUGCGUGUGUGUGUGCACGCACCCUGUGCACUUUAUAAAGAGGUAUCACUCUCUUUACAUGCGUGCGUUGAUGUGUGGACAUUUUCAUUGGUGCUAAUCACAAGAAAAGUGUGAUGAUGAUGAUCCAAAGUGCUUGCAAAACUAAAUAAAGCUAAGCACUUUACUCAAUAAUUCCUUCUGUUUACUCUCGACUGGAGAAGUCAGUCGCAUGUUUGUAUCCGUGAGGAGGAAGUUGUAGUGAUCGCGUUCCAAAAGUAAGUUGCCGGAGGCCAACGGACUCACUUAUUAGAACAAUCCAGUUAAAGAAUAUUUUAGGCCUUAUUUGCUUUCUCUAGCCAAAGUCAUAAAGUUAGCAAACACUGCUAUUUGCAGUUAUUUUCACUGUCGAAAUGAAUCUAAAAAGUCUAGUUGUGGUAGUUCAGUGGGUUCACAGUAAUGGAGCAGUUUCUCCAUGAGCCUCGCCACCAAAAUCCAACCUUAGAUUAGACCCGGGUUAAUUAUAGAGACGUGAGCAGGCGCUGGAGUCUGCAGCUCAGGCAGUCAUAGGCUCAGUACAGUCCUGACAAAAACAAGCCCUCAGAAAGGGUGUCCAAAAUGUUUUAAAACCGGAUGUUUACUUCUGUAACAUUUUACACAUUGUGUAUCUGUGUGUCAUAAGCCUGUCAGCCAUACUUGUUUAUGGAUGGUUUAAUACGACCAGUACACUGUGUUGCAAAUAAAACGAGAUGUGAAAGGGAUUCAUUUGUUAUGUAACUUUCCGAAUCAUUUGACAUUGAAAUAAAGUGUUGCUAAACGUGAUGCCUGCGACAUGUCACAUCUAAAUACAGAACAUCAAGACCUCUGUAGUAGUUGGUGCUGUUACAAAAAUACAGCGGGUUUUAUUGUUUUUCAGCAUGUUGAACAGCAUGCCUUGUGUUCACUGAAACAAAAUACAUCAGUGGUGUUCAUUAUAGUACCAGC
ensembl:lncRNA